CUUGAGACAGCACAGACCUUCCCAGAAGUCAGAGCUGGCCCGUAUGAGGCGGGAGACGCCGUCCACAGCCCCCUGACAGGAGCAGGACAGCUGGCCUUUACUCAACAGCCAGGGUGCUCCUCCACCUCGCCCCCCGCCCUGGGGCUGCCAUCGGGCCUGGAACCUACCGAGGGCCAGUGGGGCCAGGAGUUUUCAGGGGUGACAACAAGGCUCUCCUCUUAACGCACAUUGACUGACACCUACUUACAGCUCAUCAGCCUGGUAUCAGGCCGAGGACCCUGCACGCAGCGGCUCACAGCCCAUGGAGGAUCAGAGCCAGAGCCAGCUUAGCCCGGCUGUACUAGGCAGGGUGCUCCUGGAGCCUGCCAGUUCCAGGACCUGGAAGUCCGAGACCAGGUGCCAGGAUGGCUGAUUCUGGGGAGUCUUCUCUUCCUGUUUGCAACUGCCGAUUCCCACUGUGUCCACCCAUGGCAGGAGGAAACUCCAAGACCUCUGGAUGGGCCUGGGUUCUGCUUACGAAGGCAGAGAACUUCACUCAUUACGUGUGAAUGAUCGAUCCAGUCAGCAAAGAUUUAUAGGGAGUCUGCUCUGCGCCAGGCCUGGUUCCCGGAGUCUGGGAUAAUUAUUGGGAAAUAAAUUCAUCAAGAAGCUCUGGAAACCAACUGUGCAGCCUGAAAAGCGGCUGAAAAUGUGCUGCCUUGGCCCUGACCAUCUGUGGCCUGUGCGAGGCUGGCAGAUCUCAGGACCUGCAGCAAGGGCCAGGCCCUUUGUACCCCAGAAGACAAUGUCCUUGCAGCCGGUCCUUGUAUAUAGCUAUAGAGAUCCCGCCCUGCACUCCAGCCCUGGGCUGACACCAGCAGAACGACAGGAGAGCAGUGCAGGGAACUGGGGUCCUCACUCUGUCCUGUCACACAGAUCUCAGCCUCUGGUGCCUGACUCUCCUUUAGGGACUGUACCUGUCACCUCUUCAGUAUAAGCAUCUUUCUCUGCACUGAGGAAACCCCAGGCCUCUUCUGAGCAAGUGAAAGUCAUCAGACCCUAGCAGGAUCUUCCCUGCUCCAUCAGCUGCCCAGUUCAGUACUCGGGAACCGCCAGCAUCCCCAGCGGUUUGUCUCAGAGUCCGAUAAUGUCAUGAGGGUCUAGUCCAAGGCUGUUUCUGGUCUUGGCGCAGGAGAAGCAGGGUGAUGGGCAGGAUAGCUCAGGACGGGUGCUUUCCUAGGUCUCCUCACCAGGGCACAGGCACAUGGCUUCCUGGCUCUUUCAGGGCAGCAAAUGUGAUGAUUCUUCCCCUCACUCCACAUGUGCGCGCGCACGCACACACACACACACACACACGCACACGCACUCAUUGUCCAAGCACAAGGAUUCAUUCCCAGCCGGGACUGUAUUGGAGGGGUGUAAAUUGUUUUUCUCUUUGCACACAUCCUGCCCAGCUCUGGGCCCAGGGCAGAGCAGUGGAAUCCCCUUUGUUCUUCCUCUGGUAACCCAGACUGUUCCCCUGCCGUGUAAAAAGAACAGGACCCAUUAAGACCGCCCACCCACCCUAAGGCCCUUGCCUCAUCCCCAGACGGCGCAGAAGCUCCAUUAUUCUCUCCUCUACAUCUCGGGUCAGGUCACAUUCUUGGGAUCUUUUCUACGCUUGUCUAAACAACCCCUAGGGGCUGUGCUCAUCCAGUUAGGCAGGCCGUGAAAGGAUCAUUUUCCCCGGAUUACUCCGCGGAAUAUAAAUGCUGCGAGUAAAGUGAAAGGGAGGCGGUGUGCUGGGCGCUCAUUAGGGUACAAUCCAGGCAAACGGUGCUCAGACCUCUGGGGGCUAUGUCUGGGUCUCCAGGGUCACGCUCUGCCCAGCCGCGAUGCAGUCAUCCCUGUUGCCCACUGUCUCCCAGCUAGACUCGAACCUGAGGCCCAGCAGUUAACGAGCAUGACCUGAGAGUGAGUGGUCUCUGCACGCACUGGGAGAUCCCCACUUCAUAGCCCAGCCACAGGCCACUGCCUCCAACUGCCCCUGUGUGUGUGUAUGUGUGCGCAUGCACCACACACGUGCUAACUAGGUCCAACUCUGAACACCCGGAAUCAGGGUCAGCCGGCAGCUUGGUGGUUUCAGCUAUUUUCAAAAUAUGUAGAAGAUUCUAGUUCCUGGCUAAGAUUUAUUGUGAGAUAGGAGGACUCAAGAAGCUAGGGAUAUAGCACAAUGGCACAGCGCCUGCCUGGCAAGCAUGAGGUUAUGAGUUCAAUUCUUGGUACCAAAAACAAGUAACCCAGAGCCCUCCCUGGGAUGGCGCACCAAGCCACUAGGGAGAGAUGUUUGUUUUCCUGGAGUAUCCCAGGCAACAGGCAGGAAAUCCCAAACUUUUCUUAGCUUUCAGGUUCCAGGGUGAAAAGUCCCUGAGGGCAGUUGAUAACCACUCCACGGUGCUCUGCUCUAGAGUUGGAGGAUCUGGUUUUCCUGUUGGGGAACCUUGUCUUCCAGAAGCAUCCCCCGCCCUUUCCAGAGCAGAUGAAGCCUGCACCGCCGUGGCUGAGGAAGCAGACUGCACACCGAGACCUCUGUGCGGCUGUCCACAGAAAGCUAAUGGGCUGGAGUGUGACCAUGCAUACAAGAAGGCAGCCUGUCCACACCGGAAAUGGUGUCCUGGAUUCCGGGAGGGCCUCUUGGCAGAAGUACAUUACAAGGGCCUCACAAGGAAAGCUGGGCUCAGCCAGACUCGAGGUCUGGGGGUGUCUGUGUUGCAAACAGAGUGAGGAAGUUAGCAGCAUGAAGCCUCAGGCGCCUCGGGGUGGCCUGGAGCUGCUGCCAGGUGUGGGCUUUGAAGGGAGAGCCAUAACCAUGCUUGUCCUGAAACAUAGCGCUGGCAGCCAGGGGCUUUGAACACAUCCUCAGGCUCCCGGGGACUCCCCACAGAUGCGGGAGAGCAGAGGUCCCCCAGCACGGGGGCUCAGCCCUGCCAGAGGAGCAGCUGGUGUCUGGGAAGGUCUGAUUUGUCAUGCAGUGCUUGGAGUCAUCCAUGACAUCAGAGGGUCCUGAGGAGAAUGCAGCCCCCUCGACACCUCUCCAAGAAGCCGUAUCCUAGGACCAGCAACAUUUUUGGUGAAAGCACGUCUACCCUUCCCAUUUUGCAGUUCCUAAACCAACUAGAAGUCUAAGUGGUUUAAAGAAUCCACCAGUCAUCAGGAUUGAGCAGAGGGUUGCAUUGUUCUGCUUCUUAAUUUUUUCAUAUGACAAGUGAGGGUGAUAUAACUAUGUGCUCCUAGGACUGCCUGAGCACAGGCUGUGCACAUGUGUGUGUACAGGGGUGCGUGCAUGUAUGUGUGUGUGCACAUGUGUGAUUUUACACAUGCUGUCAUCUGAUCUCCAUCGGCCACUGAGCCAGUGUGUUUAGGUCCGGCGAAUCGGUUGCUGUCUCUGGCUUGAAAUUUAGCAAAGUAAAACACUUGCCUGAUGAGACACUGGGCCUCUAACCCUCUGGGCUCUCAGGGUCAUGGGGCCAGAGCGCUCAGAGCAGUGUCCUAGUGGGAGGUGUUGGAGCUGCAGCUGAGUGACCUCUUGUAAAUGACACCUCAGAGCUGCAGAGCAGGCUUCUUGUCUGGGAGGCUCACGUGUGUGUGGUCACACACUCUCUCACACUCAGUGCAAGCUGCCUCAGAGGAUGAAGACCCGUGUGAAUCUACCUGGAAUUCUAGGUUCUGGCCCGGGUUAGCAUUGGAGAGUCACUCCACAGGACAAAACCCCACAAAACUCAGCAAUACCACACUGCCAAUGUCCUGAAAAUGUACCAGGCCCGUUCCAGAUAUUCCUCAGGUCUUUACCCAGGACAGGCAGGUUGGUAACCAAAGGAUCUUAAGAACUCGGUGCUGGAGACGAGCAAGGCCGGAGGAGGAAGGCAGCCUUCCUAGCCCUAUGUGGCCUCGGGCAGGAACCCUGCCUCUCUGGGCUUCAGUUUUCCGUCUGUGAAAUGAAGGAGUGGACUCCAUGACUGCAGGAAUCCCCGUCACUUUUGGUAGUGGAUUAAAAACAAAAUCAAUGAUAUCUGACAGACGAUAAUUCCGAAGGUGACACUUACUUUGAAGUUGUAAAAUUCUGCUCCCUAAUUACUGGCUUGAACACUGUUAUGGAUUAAGAACUGGUGGUCAACUUAAAGCCAGCUGGAUUACAUCAGCAUGGCACUGAGAGAAGAUGCUCCACCUGAGGAAAGUUGCCAGGAUAGGUGGAGAGGAAGGGAGGCGUUGAGCAGGCAUUGUGUGUUCUCCUACGAGUUACUGUCUGAGCUGUUGGUUCUCCUGGAGAAGCCUUGGUCCUCACAUCAAGCAUUGCUUCCUGGCUCCGGAGGGGAAGACAUGUGUUGCUUGGUCUCCAGGAUGAACUCCUUACACUGCUUCCUGGCACGUACCUGGCUGUGCUUGUCGUCAGAGGAGCUCAGGACCUCCAUGUCACUGAGGAUGGCUGUGGUGCCUUUCAGGACAGCCCUGGUCUUUGUUGUGAGUUUGACUUCUCGGCUCCAGCGUAGAACCCUCAUCCCACCAGCACAGCUCCUUCAUCCUGCUGGCAUAGACUUUCUGGCUUCCACCGCUGACCCUUGGGUCUUCCCAGCACGGAUCCGUAAGAGACUGGUGUGAGUCCUUCUUGUGGGCUCUGGAGCUCUAGUUGGACUUGUGGGAGGCAUUGUCCUGAGCUCUGGGUUUUUAUCUGGACUCAUGUGGGACAUUGCUGUGGGAUUUAGGCUCUUGACUAAAUAUUCUAUGUCUUUGGCGUGGCAGAUAGAUUUCCUGCAUUUUCCUGUGUUAACUCCCGGUGACCAUUACAAAAAUAAUAUUAUAAACUCCAUGCCUUGAUCCUAAUUGUUCUCUGUAUACAACCCCUGACUACAACAAACACCCAUUUUUAGUUUUCUAAAAAUCCUUUGCAAAGGCUCAGAGUGACACGGAGCUGCCUUUAAAACUCCAAUGUGUGUUGCUUCUCUGAGGGAGCCCUGCCAGGAGAGCUCAGAGGACACAGAGACCUGUGUGUCCCACUCUCCGGACACCUGGAAGCUCUAAGAGGCAGCCUUCCGGGGACGCCCAGCCCCAACAGGCUGACCUGACCCAGUGCCCUCUAACUGAACUAUGUACCGGCACCCCACACAUGUCCUUUUUUUCCCUUUUUUUCUUUUGAUUUUUUGAGACAGGUUCUCACUGUGUAGCCCAGGCAGGCCUUAAAACCACAGAAAUUCUCCUGUCUCAACCUCCUGAAGGAAGGCUGGGAUUACAAACUUGCUCCACGACACCCAGCCUAACCCUGCCUUACCCUGCCUUCUUGAACUCAAAUGGUGUCUUAAGCACUGGCCUAGGGAAGGAGGAGGGGCCUGGCCAAUCCUAGCAUGAUCUGAAUAGCAGGAGUCAGAGGCCAGCUCAGAGAUCCACCCCAGACACCGGUUUCCAGCUCAUGCUCCGCAAUCAGACUUGUCUGCUUCCAAACAAGAUGCGUGGUCGAACGGCCUUGCCUUCUGCCUUCUGCUGGGGACUGGAGCACAGCACACCUGAGUCUGGAGACUCUCAGGCCACAGGUGCCCCACAGCCAGCUCCAGAGCCUGUUUCCGAGUCACUUGGGAAACCCUGCUGACGGGAACAGGCCUUCACCCAGCCACCAACCCUGGCCACGACACUACCCAGGCCCUGGCAAGGUCCAGGUUACCAGGCGCUCAAGGUCAAGGGCUGCUUUCUGAAAACCGCAAUCUUCAGAACAGUGACCACAGAGGGGUUCACCGGUGUGAGAAUUUCUACACUGCACCCCCUGUCUGAUAUGAUUUUUUUUGUCAACAGGAAAGUUUAAAAAAAAAAAAAAAAAAAGAGCCAACCUUCAACAAUAACCUCCCUUCCAGUCUAACCCCGCAGUCUGAUUAGGCUUGGCUGCUACCCCCAUGCCAGGAGAACCAGUUUGCCCAGACCUAAGGUGAUUACCCAGUCACUUGUGGCAGGGUCGAUGAACUCUUGCAGAACUCUUGCAGAAAUGCAGCUCUGGGCCAUCUUGGGGGAGUGGGGCAGAUGACCAAGUCUCCUGUCUCCUUUGCUGAGCUGUGUAAGGGACAGAGACUUCUUCAUUGGGUUACAGAUUCAGCCACUAAGCACUGAGCCUAACAAGCGCGCACACAGGACUAGGGGUGGGUGGAUCCUUUUAAGCACAGGUUUGUUGGCUGCUUAAGGGUGGUCUCCAUCCAUCUGCGACUGUAUCCACCAAGUAAGGCUAGACAGGCCCUCCACGGCUUUGUGCCCUGGCCACCUGCUGCUCAGGAGUCACUGUGCCCCCUCCCAGGGCUGCGGUUUCUGUUACCACCUCCUGUGAGACCUGAAUGGGGAGCAGGACUUGCCAAUCUAACCUGCCAAAUGCAUCCCAUGUGAUUCCCAGAAUCUGCAGUUUCUCAAGGGCCCUUUUUUCACUUAAGGCAGGAUUCAGGAAUCCACCAGUCACUAAGCACCUGCCAGCACUAAGCACUGGGCACCUGCCUGACUUAGCUGCCAGAUGCUAGGGGUGCAAAAAUUAGUAUGACCUGGGACCCCAAUGAGCUUGAAAGGCUGAAAAGUCCUUCAUAAACAAGAGCUGUUGUUCCUGUCAGGCAUGCAACACAAUGUUUUCCACUUCUACUCUGUGUCCAAAGCACUGAGAUGAAUCCACUUGUAGGAAGCUGAUCGCAAUUUAUUGAAGACUUAAAGUAAGCUAGGAACCGCACAGAUGCUUGGUUUGAUCUCGUUUACUUGUUAGAAUUAUUUUACCAAUAAAGAAGUUGAGAAAGCAGAGCGUACAAGUAAUUGGCCCAAGAAUGUACAGAUAGUAGCAGAGCAGGACUCUUGAAUUUCCUGCUGAACCACCCUGUCUGUCCUGCAGCAGGAGAUGAAUCAUGCGAUGGGGAGCCUGAUGGCGGAGCAAGGGACAUCACUUCCUGCUCCCUCUUUCUUGAGGCCCCCAGCAAACCCCGUGAGCUUGGAUCUCUCUGUCACAGCUGAGGUAGAAGGGUUACAAGUGUCCGAGGGAGAACUGAGGACCUGGCGUUGCCACGCCUGACCUGCCCUGCACUCACGGUUAUGCUGAGUUCUGAGCUCACCUGGUCAGCUGAAGAGACUGCCCACCAUCUGAUCACCGUUACGGAACGGGCCCCCUUUGUACCAGCCGAUGUGGCAAGCAACCAGCCGUAUAAUUUAUCAUUUUUACCCAUUACCCAUAAAGUGAAAACUUUGAACAAUUCUUGCCUGGCACAGCGGAACCUACCUCAGGGAAGCCAAGCUGGCUCACUUAUCUUGUGUUACUGAGGGCACUCCGUUUGGGUUCCCAUUUAGCCCUCAGUUCUAGACAUUCUGGGAGGAAAUCUGUAGUCACAAGAUUGCUCAGGCUUAAGGCAGGGUGCUGAAUGGAUCUUCCCAUUUGCAGAGUCUACCCGGUUAUGCAGCCAAAUAUCUGACUUCUCCAUAUUUGGCCACCACUGAAUAGUGUAUAUGUUUUUUUUUUUGUUUGUUUGUUUUUUUUUUUUUUUUUGGCACUCGCAUAAGUAAUACUUUUUAUACUGCAAGUCUCAUUUAAAACUUUUCUACCAUGAAACAGCAAAUGCGUUCCUGCAUUCCGUUUAGGUGCCUCUAGAAGUCUUUAAAUAUUUAUCCAAAGGUCAAACAAGCUCUGGAAUUAAGUGGAAUCAGUCAUUAGCAAAGUGAAGAGAGACCUGUUUCUCCCAGCACUCGUUCCUUCCCUUUUCGGGACCGACAGAAGGAACAUGACUCUGGUGACAGCUGGAGGACAGAGAUAACAGAAUCAUAAAAGCCCAGGCUGCUUCCCUGUCCCUCACACUACCCUUCCAGGUCACGAUUUCCAAAAUGAAAAGGGUGAGCCAGCCGCGCCAGGCUUCUGCCCAAGAGUCCUAAACUUUGCCCAGCUUUUGCUGACACCUGAAGCCCAAGCAGCCAGCCAAGUGGCUCUUCCUAGGAGACCUGCAGCCCCGGAACACACGCCUGCCAUCUGUUUGCCCAAGGACUGCUGAGACUGCUUCCCCAGGGACCUUUCUGGACAACUACACUUUCAUGGGGUCCUACUAUGUCAAGCACUGUACGAGCAUGAAGUACACCCCGAAGAAGAAGCAGCCGUGGCGUCUCCUCCUGCCGUGGAGCUGAGGAUUCAUCUCCUCCCACUUGUUACCCUUCCCAGACUGUCGCUGCCCUUCUCCGAGGCUUCCAUUGCCACCUGUCUCCAAGGGCUUCUGCUUUCCUGAGUUAACCUGGAAACCUGUCCAACUGGGCCAGCACCUGAGAGGCAUUGUGACUUAGAGCCGAGUCCAUAUCCACGUAAAGAGGCGGUUUGAUACAGAACCUUGACUCCACCCAGAGCGCCUGCGCGCUGCAGGCACUGGGUCCUGUCCCAGAUGAGGUCACCACGGUGGGAACCCCCACCACGCCCCUGCCCUUGCUGCCUCUUUCCACGUGGAAAAUAUUCUUCCCUUCUGUCUCCAAAGCACUGCCAAAGCCAGGUCAGAAAACCUAGCAAGGCUUAAUUAAAAGUUUCAAAAGGAUAGAGCUGAUGAUCUAGCAAGUGUAACCUGUGGUUGGGUAUGGUUUCCCCGCUAGUCUUGAUAGCACUCCUGGGAUCUAGCAAGGCGUCACCUUCCCUCCCCUCUCCACACACCAUUGCUCCCCAGAAGCACACAGCAAGUGAACUCUCUUUCCCUGCUACUUAAAGUCCACUUUAUAAUACUACAUAUGGUUCUAGUCUAGGGCUCAUUUCUCAGGAAGAUUAUUGGUGUGAUGCAAUCUCCUCCAUUCAGGGUGACUGCUCACACCCACCUUUCUGUGUGACCUGAACAGACACACCAGUCUAAUGCUGCACAGAAAAUAUACAGAUUAUGGUACAGAUGGUGAUUGAGGAUGGAGACCAUUUGCAAAGAUAUUCAGCAUUCAAUAUGUAUAAAACCAAACUCAAUAUGUCUUUCCAGUGCCCUUUGCCCAGAUCUGCAUGCUUCUUUAAUCUUCUUUUGAGUGGCAUAAAAGUCAUGCAGGCCAGAGUGCCAGCAGUCACCAUGGUGUGUCCCCCACUCAAAUUUUCAUGCCCUCUGUCUCCUAAAUGUCCUUUGAGUCUGCUCCAUCCCCUCAUGUCCAAACCUUGGUCUGGGCUGUCCACCUCUAUUCAGUCAGGGCAAAGGCCCCCCCACUGAUCUUCCUGCCUCCCCCAAAACAUCCCAUGCCUGCAAGUCAGGACGAUCCUUCUCAAAUUAUAAUCCCAGUACAGAUACAGGAUCAUUGCCGGGACCCAGACUGCCUGCACGUGAAUCUGUAGGACUUUUGUGACUGUGAGCUACUAUCUUACCUGCCCUGUGUCCCCAUCUCUUUAUCAGCAAAAUGAGGAGGAUAAACCUACCCAAGAGUUUCAGCCAGUUUUGAUUAGCUGCUCCCCAAGUAGCUUCCAAUUACCUACCCCACUCCACCCCAGUAUCCUGCCUGUGCAUAAUCUCUUCCACUGAGUGUGAUUGGACCCAAAUGCUUGCAUCUAAUAAAUAGAAUUCAGCAAAAGUAAGAGGAUAUCACUCUUUGAUUAUAAAAGAGUGUUAUAAAAGACAGGGGCUUCCAUGGCACCCAGCUCCCUCUGGCCCCUAUUCCGUGCUGAAGAAGCCAGCUGCCAUGGUAGGAGCUGCCCUCUGGAGACAUCCACAUGGCCUCAGCCAACCCGGAGCUGACUCCUGCCAGCAGCCAUGUCAGGUCCUUCCCAGGGACCCUGAGGUGAAACCAACCCAACCAGCCCUCAGCGGCAGCAUGGUGAGAAACCCUGAGCCAGAAGAUUGGCUCAACUGAGCCUGAAUUCCGGGGAUCACAGGUGUGUGCCGCCACACCCCGCUCCAUCACUAGGAUUAUCACUGCUGUGUGGCACACUAAUGGACUGAAAAUUCUAGAGGCAAGAGAUGGUGCCUGUGUGUCUGCUGCAUCUUCCUGGUAGACUGGGGCCUGAGAGUCUUCUAGUCAGGAAUAAACACUGAUGACCAAACAGCAGGCUGGUCUCCAACUCCCAAUGAUCCUCCUGCCUCAGCCUCCUGAGUGCUGGGAUUACAGAUGUGCAAUACCACUCACGGCCUAAUUUUUCUUGACUGAAGAACUGCAUGCCAGAGGGGACAAAAGUAGAAAGUAGCUCUCACCCCAAAGAGAGGAGGCUCCACAGUAAUAAAAGAAACUACACACAUCAUCAAUGUGUCAGUGGUCCGUUUGUCCACCCCUUCGCUCCCCUAAGAGUUCUUCGAUCCA